rnacentral:rRNA from 1 species
AUGGUCUUCCACGCCGUUCUACCCAAGAUAGCCACUAAUUGGGUCAUCAACUUGUACCGCGCCGCCAGGAAGCUCGGCAGCAAUGGCGUCCGGAACUACCGUAACUCCUGCGCCACCAAGCCAUCCACCGCUGCCGCCUCCAGGUGCACUAUCCCAUCCGCCGGCGAUAGGACGGUAGUGUGCGACUUCGACGGCGGGCUCCUGAGGUCCACCGCCCUCUUCCCUUACUUCAUGCUCAUGGCCUGCGAGGGUGGUGGCCUGAUCCGGGCGCUGCUCCUGCUCUGCUGCUUCCCCCUCGUAUGGAUCCUGGGAGAGCACACGGACGCCGGCGUCCAGGUCAUGGCGUUCGUCACCUUCGUCGGGCUCAGGCCACGGGACACCGACCUCGUCGCCCGGGCCGUUUUGCCCAAGUUCUACAUGGAGAGGCUCAACGCGCACGUGUACGACCAACUGUGGCUGCCGGCUGGAAGGAAGGUGGCCGUGACGAGCGCGCCGAGGGUCAUGGCGGAGUGGUUCCUGAAGGAGUACAUGUCCGCGGACGUGGUGGUGGGACGUGAACUUCAGAUGUUUAAAAUUAGGAACGGAUGCUACUUCACCGGGCUACUGUGCAGGCCAGGGCCGGGCAUGAGGCAGAAGGCCCUGAAGGAGGUGCUCGGAGCUGACGGUGCCAUGGCCGACGUUGCCGUCGUCGGGACCUCCAACCCACUGAACCACCUCUUCAUCCCCUACUGCAAGGAACUUCAUGUCGUGAGCACGGAGUACGCCAAGACUGCCCAGCUGCCACGCCAGAGGUACCCGAGGCCUCUCAUCUUCCAUGACGGCCGCCUCGCCUUCAUCCCUACCUCAUCGGCCAUGCUUGCAUUCUUCCUAUUUCUGCCACUCGGGCUCGUCCUCUCCGUCAUCCGCAUCUCCAUCGGCAUCAUCUUGCCCUACAAGAUCAGCUUUGCAGCUAGCGCGUUCUUUGGAGUCCGUUUCCGCACCUCUGGGUGUCGCUCCGCAGGGGAUGGCGCCAAGCCCAGGGGAGUCUUGUUUGUGUGCACACACCGGACGUUACUCGACCCAGUCAUGCUCACCGUGGCACUACAGAAGCCCGUGUCGACUGUAACAUAUGGUCUAAGCCGUCUCUCGGAGAUCUUGGCACCCAUAAGAACAGUGCGGCUGACCCGUGACCGCAACCGCGAUGCCCAAACCAUAUCUCAACUACUAGAGCAAGGGGACCUCGCGGUCUGCCCCGAGGGCACGACCUGUCGCGAGCCUUACCUGUUGCGCUUCAGCCCGCUUUUCGCUGAGUUGGCCGACGACAUGGUGCCCGUGGCGAUGGAUGCGCAAGUGACUUUAUUGUAUGGCACAACAACGAGCGGACACAAGUGGCUCGACUCCAUAGCGUUCUUGGCCAACCCAGCCCCCUCAUACCGGGUGGAGUUCCUGGGCCCUGUACCACGGGAUCAGACGUGCGCCGGGGGAAGGAUCGGUGUUGAAGUGGCAAACUGGAUCCAACAUCGGCUCGGUGAGGCGCUCGGUUUUGAAUGCACCGGGUUUCGUCGCCGCGACAAGUACAUGAUGCUCGCUGGCAACAACGGCGUGGUCUCCAAUUAG